CUGAACACGUCAGCGGGAACAGACGAACCUUCGCCAUCAUGUCCAGGAUCACAGGGAUCACGCUGCUGCUCAUCGUUCUGGUCAGCAGCUUGUGUGACAGCACAGAGUCUGUUGCUCAGUCUGGUGUGACCAAACUGGAUAUUCUCAGAUGCAGAUGCACCCAGUCUUCCAGAGGCAAGCUUAGGUGUCCCCAACCACUCAUGGCCACAGACAGCAAAGAGAAACAGGCUCUGAAAAAAUGCCUCUGCAGCGCAGGAAAACAAAACAAGCGUCCAGAGCUUCUGCGAUUCUGCCGUGUGAUCGACUUUCCUACACCGCUCUAAGAUAAACAAGUCCAGUCACUGACUAACCAAACUUAAUAUCCUGUUACGUAUGACAUUAAUCUUGUUAUGUAGAUGUUUGUGAUUUUCUCUGAAAUUGUAAAUAAAGACAGAUAUUUUUUUAUUACAUACAGUCUCGUGUCCUUUUGUGUUUCCACAUAUUUAACUGAAAAAGUCCUCAAUCUUGAGAACAACUGAAAUGAACAUUUUUAAUAUCCAAUUAUUCAAUUUUUUGUCCUUUUUUUUAGUAUUUUGAAACUUUAAAAAUAUGAAAGGGAAACCAUUAUUG
ensembl:lncRNA